ACUGCAGCCUGGGAAGCAGGAGAACACUACGGUCUAGCUGUGAGUGCAAGGCCAGCUCUCAACUAACAGAGACCAAGACCUACAUAUGAAAAGAAUGUCAAUGAAUAUAACCCUUUUCAUCUCAUUAAAAUACUUUGGUAUGAUUGGAAAUCAAUCUGAAGCUUUCAAAGAAAGCAUUUCAG